rnacentral:rRNA from 1 species
UGCGAAGGGGGCUAGCGUUGUUCGGAAUUACUGGGCGUAAAGGGCGCGUAGGCGGCGUGUCAAGUCAGGCGUGAAAGCCCCGGGCUCAACCUGGGAACCGCGCUUGAGACUGGCAUGCUCGAGUUCGGGAGAGGACGGUGGAAUUCCCAGUGUAGAGGUGAAAUUCGUAGAUAUCAGGAGGAACAUCGGCGGCGAAGGCGGCUUUCUGGCUCAUUACUGACGUUCAGGUACGAAAGCGUGGGUAGCAAACAGG